CAGCCUCAUCUUCUAGAGUGAGAAGUAACUUUCCAACAGAAAAGAUGGAGUUGCUCUUAGAAUAUUAUAUGACAUAUAAAAUUUUUGGAGGAACAAAAAAAAAUAGAUUCAAGGUAUUUCAUGCAUGCUCACAUACAGUAAAGGGAAUAAAAUGAGGGAAUGAAGAAAGGAAAAUGUAUUGAACAUUGUCUAUGUGCUGGAUACAUCACAUACAAGCUUCCACUUAGUGGUUAUAUAUACUGACCGAUAUUUUACCCAUGAAAAAACCAAAGUUCAGAGAGGUUAUUACUUUGCCCAUCAUCAGGGAGUGGCAGAGCCAGGAUGAGAACUCAGAACCAGCUGAUGGUAAGGCACAUGCUCUGUGUUUAUCAUAUCACUUUUAUUCCAAAACUACUAGAUUGACCAUGGUCAGAUCAUGAGGGCUUUGCUGAACUGCUAAAAUACUUGCCUUUUAUAGACCAAAGAAGGUUGGAAUAGUUUUUAAAAUUUUAUUUUUAGGAAAAAAAUUAUAAAGCCAACUCUUAUAAUAGUAUGGAUCUGAAAUUUAAAAUAAUAGAAAUGGAUUCAGGAAGAUACUAUAGGAAGUUAAGGUAACAUCCAGGUCAGUCCCAGUGAAGACCUAAGUCAAUAGCAGCAGUGAGGAUGACAUGGAACAGAUAGACUCAUGAGUUCUUCCAAAGGUUUUAUCUCCAGGGCUUGGUGACUGCUUUGAUGUGGGAAUGAUGGUCCAUGAAGAGUCUGGGAUCGCUCCCAGGUUACUGACUUUGGCAGAGGGCAGGAUGUGGUGAAUAAUGGUACUGUAAAUCAAGAUGGUAAAUGCCAGAAAAAGUAGCCAGUUUGGAAGUAAAAGAUGAAGAGUUCAGCUUUGGGACAUGUUGAAUUUGAGAUGGAGAUGUCCUAUAGGUAAGGAGCUCUCUGAGACUUGAGUUCAUAAUUUCUGAGGGUUGGCAGAGAAGAGAAAACUCAUCCUGGGGAAAGACAUAGAAUCAAGAAAGCACAGACUGAGGAGAAAACCCCAGGGGUCAUCAGAGUUUUUUAAAGUUGGGUAUAGAAGAGGAAGUGGGCAUAGAAAAACAAGAAGGAAAUUCAAAAGACUGAUCUAGUAGGUGGAAAGUGAACCAGGACGUUUGGUAUCUUCAAAUCUGAGAUGGGGAGUAUUAAAAAAAUAAAUAGUGGUGAGCACAGACACACGCUACAGAGAAAACAAGUGAUAUUGAGACUUAUAAGAGUCUAUCAGCUUGAACAAUUGUAACAUCAGUGGUAAUACCAGUCAGAGCAGCCCAUGUGAAAUGAUUUAAGCUAAAGGAUAAUGAUUCAUGAAGAAAUAAUGGGAAAUGAAAGAGUAGAGACACUGGUGUAAAGUGCAUUUUAAGAGCUUGGAGCAUAAUCAACGAUUGAACAUGCAGAAAUAUCAAGAUUCAUUUAUGAAAUUCAUCUUAUUAUCCCUUGAAAUGUCUUGUGUGAGGAUAAUCCUACUAUGCCCCUGAAUGAAAACUAGGCAGAUUCCAUAACUCUUUUUCCAGUUAGUAAAAUUCUCCUAAGUACUUCAAGUCACCAUUUCAAUCUCACUGCAAUAUGUAAAAUUGUCUAGACAAUAUAAUAAAGUUUCAAUAUUAUUCAAAGAUAAAAUUCCUCAUCCCUCCACGAGAAGGGGAAUUUCAGGUGGGCAUCUAACCUUGCGCCACCUGCCUUCUAAACCUCAGCUACUUAAGCAAGGGCAGCUUCAGCAACCUUCACUGUUCCUCAUCUCCUGACACUGUGUGUGCUUUUGCAGCCUCUUCAUGUCCACCCUGAUGCACUUGCAGUGGCUCUGCACUUAAUCUCAUCUAACUGGACCUGUGAGGACUCUGACUCUCCUCCCAUUUCCCAUUCAUAAGGAAGCCAUACAGUACAAGGCACAAGAUCUGGCUUUCCCAGUCACAUGACCUGGAUCAAAGGUCAAAAGUAGGGAAGUUAAUGCCUCAGGAAUUGAAUGUGAACCAAACAGUGACAAGAAAGAGGAAAAAGGUGGCAAGUGAAUACCACUCCAUUACUUCCAUUGGGGGAAUAUUCUAAGUCACAGUAGUGCAACAGAGCCUAUCUGGAAGAAGUGCUCUAGCAACAAACAACCAGCUCUGUGUUCUGGGGAAGUUCUAAGAAGCUCAGUGAAGUGCCACCUGGUAAAAUUAUUCCCUCUUUCCCUGUCUGCAUCACUUCCCUUUUCCCUUGAUCUUGCUAUACUGAGAUUGCACUUUCCCAUACAGCCUUAGUGUAUAAGCUUUCAAGAGGGUUUUCUUCUUUAGGGAACCUAGGCCAAGACAGAGGUGGUUGAUUUCUUUUCUUUCCACUUGACAUUGGGUUUUUGUUGUUUUUGUUGUUCCCUAACGCCUUGAGAGCAAGACCUAGCUGGUACUGCUACACUCUGCAUGGCUCUAUAUUAUAUUUAGCGCUGACUCCUUCUCUGGGCACUGUGUAGAGACUCUUGGGUGAACUCUCUGACAACAACUCCAUUGACCCAGGCAGUGCCUCUCUUUUGGCUGCUUAUUCCAAAUUCUCCACUAUAGUCUCCAAUAAUACAAUUCAGAGCCUCUUACUGCUGGAUAUCACCACCAGCAGAUCCCACUUUCUCAGGUGUGAAUCAAGCACAAUCCUUCAAUUUCCUCCAUCUGCAGAGAAUACACAAGUAUAUGUACAAAAACACAAAUUUAUAUUACAUAUGCAUGCAUAAGUAUGAAUCAUUCAUAUAUAUAAUAUAUAUGUAAUGUACAUAAUUUACCUAUACAUAUACAUAUCCAUCUACAUAUGUAUUAGAUUCCUUAAGUGGUCCCCUUGAAGCCCCUCUUAAAGAUGUAGAGUUUAAAAGUUGCACCUCUCAUUCCACUGGGCAGAAUAGAAAGGGAAGAUAGACUCAUAGCACUCCAAAAGUUUCAAAUAUUUGUCUCAAAAAAUAUUACUUUUUCUAACCCUGGAUAAGUUUAUAUUCUUAAUUUGUUAGGGGUUCAAAAGUCAGGUAAUGCACCUUUGGCUAUCUACUUUGAAAUUUUUCAUAAGCUCUAGUACCUCCUCUUAUUGUUUCAUUUAGAGAAAAUCCAACUUUAUUGUCUUUUUAAUGAAAAGCGUGAGAAAUAGGAGAGUAGCUAAAGAGAGAUAUACACGUUAAAAUUCUAGUACUUUAAAAUUUUAUUUUGUUUUGAUGGAAAAUGAGAAAGAUUUAUAUUGGUUCAAAAUCCUGUUUAGAUGGACCUGGUAGAGAAGAAAAUAUUUAAAAUAUAUAUACUAACAAAAGGAUAUUUUCACUUUGUUUUCUAAUCUUCAAAGUAGAGCUAAUAAUAUCUAUGAACAUGGAGAGAUUGUGGAUAUUAAAUGAAAUGAAAAAUGCUAAAGGUGUUAGCUAUACCUAGUCUAGAAAAAGAGCGUAAAAAAUCUGGAAUUGAUGAUUAGGCUGGAAAAUUUUUAAAGAUUUUCUAGAAUCAUGAUGCAGAUAGAUCUCUUUUUAACUCAAGUGUGAAUCUAGUCAGUGUUUCAGUAGCUUGGAUGAAGUAAACUGAAAGGAUUUAUUCUUUAUAAAUAUAUAUCCCCUUUAUUUUCAAGAGGUCUGCAAAUUGACUUUGGUAUUAAUCUUUCUCUUUUAUUCUCUUUUAUUUAUGUAAUUUUCCAUAUCAUUCAUAUAUACAUGAACAUACAUGAGGCCUUAGCCUAGGAUUCUCCCUUUUUAAGGAAAAUUCCCAAUCUUUUAUGUAAUUUCAUAAUAACUGGCAUGUGUGCACUGAUUUGAGUCAGGUGCUUUAUUAAACUGCAAAGAAGUCAUCCAGAUUUGCUGACUUCACUUUUCUACUGAGGCAAAUUUCAUCUUUAAAAAAUCAGUGAUAAUAGAAAAAUAUCUAACAGACACUGAGUGCUUUGUGUAAGGCACCAUGCUAAAGAGCUUAUCUACAUUAAUAUGCACACUGAUCUUAGGAGUCAGGUGUUUUUACUACCCCCAUUUCACAGAUGAGAAAAAGGAGACUUAAACUAGGUUUCGAAAUGAUUCUUCCCCCAAGUUUACUAAUAUCUUAAAAGCAACACGUCAGUAAGGAUGGGAGUCUUAGUAAGGACACAGAGAAAACAGGAGUGACCUUGCUCAUUGUGGACUGUAGCUCUUUGCGCAUGUAUGGUGGCCUCCCAUGAAGCAGCCUCUGCUCUCACUUUGACCGUGCCCAUUCCACUGACAUACCUCACUCAUAAUAUUAGCACAGAGAGUUUUUAUUGAAGAAUUCAUGAUAUAGAAGAAUAUUUACCUUGAAAAAUUUCAUAUAAUCCUCCUCAGGCUUUUCUUUCUCUAAAAUUGCUUCCCCCAAACCAGGCAUGUCAUCUCCUUUCUCCCUGCUCUUUUUAUCCCUUAAGGAAGGGAAUUACCUCAGAUUAAAUAUUCCACCAAAUAAGCAAAAGCUACACAAAUCAAAGGCAAUUCAAAGAAUAUCAACUGCUACUUAAGCCUGCCUCUUCACCUGGGUGAAGAGGGGGUGUCUCAUCUAUCCAUAGCCAGUGGCCUAUCCAAUUGAUUCAUUAUGUACUUAAUGCUUAUUACAGGUAGGAAGUGCAAAACAGAUUUUGAUGUUAAGAGAUUUUUCUCAUCAGUCCUUAUUCAACUGGGACCAGAACCAAUUCCCAGAUAACAAAGAUCAAAACUCAGAAUAGAGAGAAGGACUGCCAAACCUUCUUUGACUCAGAAUAGAUAAAACCAAGAUUCUCUCUAAGUGCUAUAUAUUGUUAAGUGUUUGAACUGAUCCUCAUGAACUAACAUACAGAAUUCUAAGAUUUGAGUAGCCUUUUAAUAUCAACUGCCUGGCAUAUUUAGGUGUGGGUUAAUCCAGAAAAAGGGUAAAAGCAGAGGAAAAGAGAAAAGUGAUGCUAAUCAUUUGUGCCAUGUUAUCUUCAAGGAGAAACUCAGGAGGGUUCCUACAAUGGUACAGUGAGUUAAGAAUCCUACUGCAGUGGCUCUGAUCUGUAGAAGCAUGAGUUCGAUCCCUGGCUCAGUUCAGGUGGUUAAAGUAUCCAGUGUUACUGUUUUCGGUAGGUUGCAGCUGUGACUUGGGUUCAGUCUCUGGCUCAGAAACUUCCAUAUGCCAUGGGUGCAG
rnacentral:lncRNA from 1 species